rnacentral:rRNA from 1 species
AGGGAAUCUUCCACAAUGGACGAAAGUCUGAUGGAGCAACGCCGCGUGAGUGAUGAAGGAUUUCGGUUCGUAAAACUCUGUUGCAAGGGAAGAACAAGUAGCGUAGUAACUGGCGCUACCUUGACGGUACCUCGUUAGAAAGCCACGGCUAACUACGUGCCAGCAGCCGCGGUAAUACGUAGGUGGCAAGCGUUGUCCGGAAUUAUUGGGCGUAAAGCGCGCGCAGGUGGUUUCUUAAGUCUGAUGUGAAAGCCCCCGGCUCAACCGGGGAGGGUCAUUGGAAACUGGGAAACUUGAGUGCAGAAGAGGAUAGUGGAAUUCCAAGUGUAGCGGUGAAAUGCGUAGAGAUUUGGAGGAACACCAGUGGCGAAGGCGACUGUCUGGUCUGUAACUGACACUGAGGCGCGAAAGCGUGGGGAGCAAAC